rnacentral:tRNA from 1 species
AGUCUCGUAGCUCAGUAGGUUAGAGCGUUACACUGAUAAUGUAGAGGUCGACAGGUCGAAUCUGUCCGAGACUA